CAGUAGCCGCGGUAACACGGAGGGGGCUAGCGUUAUUCGGAAUUACUGGGCGUAAAGCGCACGUAGGCGGCUUCGCAAGUCAGAGGUGAAAGCCUGGGGCUCAACUCCAGAAUUGCCUUUGAGACUGCGUCGCUCGAAUCCGGGAGAGGUGAGUGGAAUUCCGAGCGUAGAGGUGAAAUUCGUAGAUAUUCGGAAGAACACCAGUGGCGAAGGCGGCUCACUGGACCGGUAUUGACGCUGAGGUGCGAAAGCGUGGGGAGCAAACAGGAUUAGAUACCCCCGUAGUCCCUGUCUCUUAUAC
rnacentral:rRNA from 1 species